rnacentral:rRNA from 1 species
UGUAAGCGUAUACCAAAGUUGUUGCAGUUAAAACGCUCGUAGUCGGAAUUUGGCAGUUCCGGAAGUGUGCACGUCGUGUGCGCACUUUGCGGGGACUGCUUUUGUGGUCUUGCGUAGGAUGAGGCACUUUCAUUAGUGAACGUCCUCACGCAACCACUCUUUACUGUGAGAAAAUCAGAGUGCUCAAAGCAGGCAUUUGCCGUGAAUGUAUUAGCAUGGAAUAAUAGAAUAGGACUCGGUUCUAUUUUGUUGGUUUGUUGGGACUGAGUAAUGAUUAAGAGGGACAGUUGGAAGCAUUUGUAUUCCGGCGCUAGAGGUGAAAUUCUUAGAUUGCCGGAAGACAAACUGCUGCGAAAGCGUCUGCCAAGGAUGUUUUCAUUGA